rnacentral:rRNA from 1 species
CUAACUAUUGUGUCUAUAAGAUGCGUUUCCCCCCCCCCGCGUGACGCAGACACCCCCCGCUGGUGGAAAAUUCAUCCGGAUAAACUCUUUUGGUGGUGAGGAAAUAUUUCAGCGAUAGAUAUCUUUUUACGGGCGCAGACUCGCGUUUGAUAGGAGACUACACGUUCUCCCGCUAAUGGUGUCAGGGAGGUGUCGCGGUGUUUUAUCUCCGCGACAAAACCCACGUUGAUCUUACCGUGUUCUUGUUUUUCUGGUCUAUAGUACCUAGCGGUAGGCGUAUUCAGCAGGGAGCGCGGAAGCCCAGCAUUGUACUGCGUUCGCUGCUGAGGAGGUCGACUUAUUUAGGUGUAGUUGAACUGAGCACGCAGAGGUGAGGGGUAUAGCUGGGUUACGUACCCCGGAUGUCACGCCACCUUACUAUGGAUUCUCUCGUCUUAUGAGGCACGCAAGCGUGGGGAUCAAACAGGAUUAGAUACUUUGGCAGUCGGCGCUCUAACCGAUGAGUACUAGCUGUUAGCGAUUACACAGUUAGCGCCUAAGCGAGAGCGUUAAAGUAUGCUACUUGGGGAGUACGCCCGCAAGGGUGAAACUCAAAGGAAUUGACGGGGGCCCGCACAAGCGGAGGAGCAUGUGGUUUAAUUCGAUGAUACGCGAGGAACCUUACCCGGGCUUGAAAGUUAGUGAAUGGUUUAGAGAUAGAUCAGUGAGCAAUCACACGAAACUAGGUGCUGCAUGGCUGUCGUCAGCUCGUGCCGUGAGGUGUUGGGUUAAGUCCCGCAACGAGCGCAACCCCUAUGUUUAGUUGCCAGCACGUUAAGGUGGGGACUCUAAACAGACUGCCUGUGCAAACAGAGAGGAAGGAGGGGACGACGUCAAGUCAUCAUGGCCCUUACGUCCGGGGCUACACACGUGCUACAAUGGAUGGUACAGAGGGCAGCAAGCUGGCAACAGCAAGCAAAUCUCAAAAAGCCAUUCACAGUUCGGAUAGAGGUCUGCAACUCGACCUCUUGAAGUUGGAUUCGCUAGUAAUCGCGUAUCAGCAAUGACGCGGUGAAUACGUUCCCGGGCCUUGUACACACCGCCCGUCAAGCCAUGGGAGUUGGGGGUACCUAAAGUAUGUAACCGCAAGGAGCGUCCUAGGUAAAUACGACGUGAUUG